UGGGAGGGUUUUAACAGAGCAACAGCAGGGUUGGAGCACCGAGCAGAGAGCAUGUCCCCUUAUGUCUAAAUCUAAUCAUAUGUUAUUGGUCACAUACACAUGGUUAGCAGAUGUUAUUGAUCACAUACACAUGGUUAGCAGAUGUUAUUGGUCACAUACACAUGGUUAGCAGAUGUUAUUGGUCACAUACACAUGGUUAGCAGAUGUUAUUGGUCACAUACACAUGGUUAGCAGAUGUUAUUGGUCACAUGGUUAGCAGAUGUUAUUGAUCACAUACACAUGGUUAGCAGAUGUUAUUGGUCACAUGGUUAGCAGAUGUUAUUGGUCACAUGGUUAGCAGAUGUUAUUGGUCACAUACACAUGGUUAGCAGAUGUUAUUGGUCACAUGGUUAGCAGAUGU
ensembl:lncRNA